AGAGUUUGAUCCUGGCUCAGAAUCAACGCUGGCGGCAUGGAUUAGGCAUGCAAGUCGAACGUGAAGCUCUCUUCGGAGGGUGGAAAGUGGCGAAAGGGUGAGUAACGCGUGAGUAACCUGCCCCCGAAUCGGGGAUAGCCUCUGGAAACGGAGAUUAAUACCCGAUGCGGUUUCCCGUCGCAUGGCGGGAGGACCAAAGGACUCUGUUCGGGGAUGGGCUCGCGUCCCAUUAGCUUGUUGGCGGGGUAACGGCCCACCAAGGCGAUGACGGGUAGGUGGUCUGAGAGGAUGGUCACCCACACUGGGACUGAGACACUGCCCAGACUCCUACGGGAGGCUGCAGUCGAGAAUCUUCCGCAAUGGGCGCAAGCCUGACGGAGCGAUGCCGCGUGAGGGAUGAAGGCCUUCGGGUUGUAAACCUCUGUCAACCGGGACGAAGAAUGUGACGGUACCGGUAGAGGAAGCCACGGCUAACUACGUGCCAGCAGCCGCGGUAAUACGUAGGUGGCGAGCGUUAUUCGGAUUCACUGGGCGUAAAGGGUCCGCAGGGGGUUUGCCAAGUCUGGUGUGAAAUCCCGCGGCUCAACCGCGGAACUGCACUGGAUACUGGUGAACUGGAGUGCGUCAGGGGCAGACGGAAUUCCAGGUGUAGCGGUGGAAUGCGUAGAUAUCUGGAAGAACACCGAUGGCGAAGGCGGUCUGCUGGGGCGUUACUGACCCUCAUGGACGAAAGCGUGGGUAGCGAACAGGAUUAGAUACCCUGGUAGUCCACGCUGUAAACGUUGUGCACUAGAUGUGGGGGGUAUUGAUCCCCUCCGUGUCUGAGCUAACGCAUUAAGUGCACCGCCUGGGGACUACGGCCGCAAGGCUAAAACUCAAAGGAAUUGACGGGGGCCCGCACAAGCGGUGGAGCAUGUGGCUCAAUUCGAGGCAACGCGAAGAACCUUACCUGGGUUUGACAUAUACCGGACCGUCCCGGAAACGGGGCUUCCCUUCGGGGCCGGUAUACAGGUGCUGCAUGGCUGUCGUCAGCUCGUGCCGUGAGGUGUUCGGUUAAGUCCGGCAACGAGCGCAACCCGUGUCGUCAGUUGCUAACAGGUAAAGCUGAGGACUCUGACGAGACCGCCCGUGUCAAGCGGGAGGAAGGCGCGGAUGACGUCAAGUCCGUAUGGCCCUUACGUCCAGGGCUGCACACGUGCUACAAUGGGCGGUACAAUGGGAUGCAAUGCUGCGAGGCGGAGCUAAUCCGUGAAAACCGUCCUCAGUUCGGAUCGGAGUCUGCAACUCGACUCCGUGAAGUCGGAAUCGCUAGUAAAGGCGUAUCAGCAACGACGCCUUGAAUACGUUCCCGGGCCUUGUACACACCGCCCGUCACAUCAUGGAAGCCGGCUGCACCCGAAGUCGCUGAUCCAACCCGCAAGGGAGGAAGGUGCCGAAGGUGUGUCCGGUGACUGGGAUGAAGUCGAAACAAGGUA
rnacentral:rRNA from 1 species